rnacentral:rRNA from 1 species
AUUGAACGCUGGCGGCAGGCCUAACACAUGCAAGUCGAACGAGUGGCGGACGGGUGAGUAAUGUCUGGGAAACUGCCCGAUGGAGGGGGAUAACUACUGGAAACGGUAGCUAAUACCGCAUACCAUCGGAUGUGCCCAGAUGGGAUUAGCUAGUAGGUGGGGUAACGGCUCACCGAGGCGACGAUACCUACCUGGUCUGAGAGGAUGACCAGCCACACUUGAACUGGAACACGGUCCCGACUCCUACGAGAGGCAGCAGUGAGGAAUAUUGCAAAAUGGGCGCAAGCCUGAUGCAGACAUGCCGAGUGUAUGAAGAAGGCCUUCGGGUUGUAAAGUACUUUCAGCGAGGAGGCGUUACUCGCAGAAGAAGCACCGGCUAACUCCGUGCCAGCAGGCGCGGUAAUAC